rnacentral:rRNA from 1 species
UACGUAGGGCGCAAGCGUUGUCCGGAAUUAUUGGGCGUAAAGAGCUCGUAGGCGGCUUGUCACGUCGGUUGUGAAAGCCCGGGGCUUAACCCCGGGUCUGCAGUCGAUACGGGCAGGCUAGAGUUCGGUAGGGGAGAUCGGAAUUCCUGGUGUAGCGGUGGAAUGCGCAGAUAUCAGGAGGAACACCGAUGGCGAAGGCAGAUCUCUGGGCCGUAACUGACGCUGAGGAGCGAAAGCAUGGGGAGCGAACAGG